UGCUGCGUGAACAUAGGGGUGCAUAUAUCCUCUCUGAUUGGUGUUUCUGGUUUCUUGGGAUAUAGUCCUAGAAGUGGGAUUACUGGGUUAAAUGGGAAUUGCAUUUUUAAUUACACCUUACUUUUAUACAGGCCUUUUAUGCAAGUGUGUUAAUUGAACCUCACAAUAAUUAUAAAAGUAGAAAUAAUUGGUAUUUAUUUUGCAGUGACAAAGUUGAACCUCAGAACUGGUAGGAAAAUGCCCAUUUUUAAAUACACUUUUACACAGAAUUGAGGUAAUCUCCCAAGCCUAGUGAUACCACGUUCAAAAGUUUUACGCCAUGUUUCAGGAUAGGCUACAGUGCAAACAAAAGCAGCCACACUCAAAGGUGCAUUGUUAAGCCUCUUAAUGAAUUCUAUAUAUGUACAUUGGAUUUUCUCCUUAAAACAUAAAAAGCCUUCAGUGCAGUCUUCUGUAAUCAUGUGGUUUGAAAAAUUAUGACAGUCAUUACUGGGGCUUUACCUUGAGCAGCUUUAAUUAUUUUAAUAACCAUCCACAGUUCCUUCAUCAGAGAGAUUUUGGACCAAAGUAUAGUGAUUAUCAGGCUGAUGGGGGAAAGCUUCCUUGUUAUACUUAUCGCCUAACGUUUAUUAUGUGCCGAGUGUGAUCAAUUUUUUACAUAUGCGUUAAUUGCAUUAAAGGACUGAACAGGAAAAGCUAUUUAACCUCAUCUUUAUUCACUUAUCCUUGAAAUAGUCCUGUCAUGCUGCUCCUCGAAAAGCAGAACAUAACGAUUUGAACUUUGUAUGGAUCACCAUAGUUACUGGGCACUUGUGACAUUUUAUUCCUUACUAUUUUUACUUUUACGUAUAAAUUCUUCAAAACUUGCUUUCCUGUGUUUUAUGAUAUCAUUUUUCCCCUUGGCACAGUUAUAAAAAUGAAUGUCAUUAUUUUACAUCUUUUACUCUCCUUUUGGGACCUGUGUGUGCUGGAGUCAUUUCCGAGGGUGCUGUUCCUUCCUGUCGCAAUAGGAAGCUUCCAGCCCUGGGAGCCGGAGCGGGGCGUUCCAAGGUAUGUGCCAGUGUGUGCCCAGCACAGACUCUUCUUCGCUGAAAUCCCUACACAUUUAGAAGGGAUGAAGAUGAGUUUGCAAUAGAACAGUGAAGUUAAAAACCCAAUGGAACCAUCCAGUGAUGGCCCCAUUAACUGUGUUUGCCUCAUGGUGGAACUCUGGGCACUCAGAAUGGGUUUCUCUCACAUGUGGGAGUCUGACACUACAGAAGGUUGAGGCUGAACAUGGGGCCUGACGGAACAGAGGGGUGACUUUCAGUGGGCUGCCCUGGGCUGCAACAGCCAAUUCAUCACCCACACUGCAGUCAAGAUUUAUUUUUCAUCUCGCUUGUGUAGCAGUCCCGGUUUCCAUUUUAAUACUUAGAAGGUAAGUUCAGUUGAUGGACAUUUUGUGUAAUAAAAAACUCUUUUAAAGAACGUGCCCACAUACACACACGGGAUAAAAAGUGGCACCAUCAGGGCCGGUGGCUUUCACAGAAUACAUUUGUAGAACCCAAAGCUUAGUCCUGGAUAUGUUUAUAGCACUUUAGCUCCGUUUGUGAAUUUGGAACCCUUCCAAAAAAAGAAGAGAAAGACAUAUAUUAUUGUUUAUAAUCUGCUUUAUUCCGCCAAACCUUGACUGAACAGACCUGUGGAUUGCUGUUUAAAUCCCUCAGUGCCUUUAACUACCGAUGGGGAAAGUGGUUAAUGCGCAUUCUAAACGAAGCUUGGCAUCCACUCCGGGAAACCACUUUAAUUGAGAAGCAUUAAAUGUUAAAAUGAUUCUAAAAAAAUAAUAAAGCCAGCACACAUAUUGAGUAUAAAAGUCCAGGCCCAUCAGUAAUAUAGUUCUUGGUUCUCAUAUUCCUCUAGCCUGAGUGAGCUUUAAGCCCUGCAGUUGACAGGUGUCGAAAAAGCGACUCUCAAUUCCCGAGGUGGCUGUCUGCGGGCGGCCACCCAUCGGCUGGCAGUGAGCAGGCAGUGGCCAAGGGCUCCACGUUAGAGGAGGGGAGCUGGCAACUUUACAGAUGUUUGUUUUUCUGGAAUAAUAAGCUGGUCCCAGAUGACUAAAAUGGGAGAUUUAACCCUCAAGUCCUUGCCUGGGCUUUCCAUUGCUGUGCUGGAGCCAUCUGCUGAAACCUAUUUACCAUUUUAAUGGCCCUUUUUUUAUUUCUUUUUUAACUGCUUUAUUUCCAACUCCAAGUGUGUGUGCCAAGAGUACUCUUUGGGGUCUGUAUUUUAUCUUUCAGGAAGCAAUUCCCAGCCUUUCCAAAAUCCCCAAACCCCUCCCAGGCAAUGGGAGAUCCUGGUCCAGGGUUGGCAAGCAAGCGAGAGAAAGAUAAAUCUUUAAAAAACAGAAAACAAAACCUCUCCCCCAGCUUCAGAGUUAGCCAUCCCUGAACGUUGUGGCCGAUUCUGUGGUUACUGAAUAAUCCAAGGUGUGCCUAAGUCACGUGGCAACUUUUCUGCCCUGGGAGCCCCUUCCAUGGGAGCAAGUGCUUACUGUCAGGGACAGCCGGUGACUUGUCCAUUUAAUUACAGAAUAACAUCCCAGUUAAUCACAUGCCUAAAUUCAAUGGCUGUGUUUAAUGGGGGAGAGGCCAAAGAAAGGGGUUCUAAAGGAAAAUUCUGAAAUCACAUUGAACAAAAAGAAGAAAAGGAAUGAAAAAUUUAUAAAGAAGUGUUACAAUCAGUAGCCCACUCCCUCUGAAAGGGUGUGAUGUACUCUCCCCCAGCAGGUACAGAGAGAUGAUUUGAAGAGCUCUGUUUAAUAGUUUGGGUGGAUUCCUUUUAUCACUCCUUUUAGAAAGAUGAUAAGUUUCCUCUUUCUAAUGAUUUGGCCCCAUUUUAUAAACAUUAAGGUGUUUUUUUUUCUCCCUCCUACCACAGUGUUUCCUCAGAAGCAGGGGCUAACCAUUGCUUACUGCUCUGGGGCAGCCAUGACCCACACCAGCACUGACCGAGCACCGCUGCUCACUGCACAUCCAGCAGAGGACUAGCGGAAAGGCGAGGAUUUCCAAUGACUAAACUGAAAUAGCAUCCGUCUAAAGAGACAGUGGAAAGGAGAGAGGAGAGACAGAGAAACAUCAAUGUGUGACAGAGAGACAUCCUGCAAGCAACCAAACCUGUAACCAAGGUACGUGCCCUUGAUCGGAAUCAAACCCGGAUCCUUCAGUCUGUAGGCCAGCACUCUAUCCAGUGAGCCAAACUGGCUAGGGCUAAAUGCUUUUCUUAUGUCUUAAUUUUGUCCUCUUUCCCUGACAUUUCACUGUGUUAAUUUGGAGGAAUAAUAUCAAUAUGGUAGUUGAGUUGCACUUUCUAUUAUAUUCAUAACUAUUAGCUGAAGUGAGAAAAAGAAAGCACAGAGACAGAAGGAGUUUGCCUCAGCUGGCACAUCAAGUGCCUGAAAGGGCCAAGACCAGUCUUCCCAAUAAUGUGAUACCGCAGGUGGGCUGGCUUAGCCUUGCAUUGGGUAUUUCUUCUGUGGUUUUAUUACUCUUUAAAAAUAGUACUUCCCUAGCCCCGUGAGUACCAUUUUUGCUUAUAUCAGCUACUACUGGAAGCUUAGGUGUUGCUGGGUUUUUAAUUAUUAUUUUGCUCCUGAAUUCAGAAACCUCCCAUCCCCCAAGGUCUAUCAGCCAGGUACUACAGAUGAGUGUUGCUACUUAAUCGCUCUCUUAGAGCCAAAGACAGAUUCAGAUGAUGUAAAUUGCUCUAGAAGGUCUCAUUUCGUGUUUAAAAUUUGUCCAUGUCAUUUUAGCAAGGGAGAAAGCAGCUCCCAGGAGGCCCCUAUACCUCAGUCGCAGACCGCUGAGCCACGGAGGAGAGCCUGGAGGAGGAGCUCAGGUAUGCGGUGUGCUCUCCGUGUCCAAGUCACAGGAGAGCCAAGGAACAGUCUUGGCACGCAGUGGCUCACUGGUGGCACCAGUAUUCUAGAAUGCUAACUGCACUUGCAAGGAGAGCCACUUAAAACUGAGGCCUGGCAUGGCUGUGCUUCUCCAUGGAGCGCCUGUGUUUGCUGCUCUCUGGGAGGAGGCUCUGGGGAACUCAGCUACCCCAGCUUUGUGGCCAGGAUAGCUAGCCAACACCACCACACCAGCUGACCUGCUCACUGAGUUCUCGGGAGACUGUUAUUAGCAUGAUGGAAGAAGGCCCCCCAUUCUCCAGCCAUUGAAUAAGGCAUGAGCUUGAUUAACUUGCGUAGAAAACAAAAAAUGCUCAACUGAUCUUAAAGGAGCAGCGCUACAUAGAGGGGCAUGUUCCUUGUCUGCUGCCCAUUAACCACCAAAAGCAGGCAAUACCUUGAGAUUUCAGGAGCUCCUACACCAAGUACACAAGCUGUGACAGUGGUCUGGGUGGGACAGUCUUUAACCGGUUCAUUGCCCAACACAGUCUUUCUCCUGUGCACUGAGAGCUGCCUGCUGAGAACAAUAUGCUCAAGAACCUGUCCUCCCAGAAGACAGCGGCACGUGUCUUUCCUUGCUUCUUUGAUCGUUGUAUAAUCCACAGCCUGUCUAGUGGAAUAAGUGAUAUGAGCAAAUUAAAAAGGCACAUUGUGCUCCGAGGGGACUCAUCGGGCAAUCAAUGUGAUGGGCCAGGGCAACUGAGCUCCAGCCUUAGAGUCACCUGCAACGAAAACCACUUCCUGCCAUCAGGGAUGGAUUCAGUGAUGAUGGGACCGCUCCCAAACCCAAACUGACAGAUAUUCUCUGGAGAGGGAAGAAGUCCUUCACAGCAGAGGAAAAAGGAGGGGCAUGUUUCUACAUCAAAGUUUCUACUGGCCUUUUGUAAGUGACCUUUGUUUUAUUUUGAAAAUUAGGGUUUGAUAAGGGUGGUUCAAAAAUCACUUAUAUUUAAGGGCUGUGACGUCACAGAAAUCUCAGUUCUGGCGAGAGCACUGGUGUGGGAAGCAUCUCAUGAGACAUGCCAGUUGGAGCCGAGUUCCCUAAGGCCAGGGUGGCCUCACAGUCACCUCCUGCUGCCAAGCACUGAGCAGCCACAGCCUGUAAGCAGGGUGGGGGAGGGAGCAUAAGCCAGCACCCUAGCGCUCUAGGCUCUGCACUGUUCUGAGAGGAGGCUGCUCCCCACCAUUUCUCCAGGAGAACAGCACCCUAGUGCGGGGGCUUCCUAGCCAUCAGUAAAGGACUUCCAUUGAAAAUAAUGGAAAUUCACAUUGGUGCGCAUUUGAUCCUAAAACGGUAAGUCUCUCUUGAUUCUUGAAGGUAUUCUCUCAAGCCAGAAGGACGGGUAGGGUGGGGAGGACAGAGGUUUAAAAAGGAGGAUGAUCCAUUUCAUCGAGCCAAGAGGCGGGGCUAGUUGGAAAGUCGGGAUAGCCUACACUGCUUCCUGUGGAGAUGUCAGAGGUAGGAAUACACAUGACCAGGAAAGAAGCCCAAGGAUGACAGCUGCCAAGCAGGGUCAAACAUCACGUCAGCCCGAGACUGACCCACAUCAAGGGGGAGAAUAGAAGAAACACCUGCAGACUCAAUUCCUAGGACCCAGAAGUCUGGACAGUGUUUGGUGAGUGUUUGACCCCUGUCACUCAUGAACUAAGAUACUCUGGCUACACUGAGGACUACGAAUGCCCUCACAUCACGGUGGAAGUUCCGUCCUGACAAGAUUUAAUCUGAAAGCUUUUAGGCUAAGUAAUGUGCUUGGGUUAGCAAACAAGCAGGCCCAUAUGGUAAGGGUACUGAGGACCGCUCUUAUCUACUUGGGAGAGAUUCAAUAGCAAAGGACUUGGUUUGUCUAAUGCAGUCUUCACUGAGGACAGUGUUAAGACAAAUGGACCUUGCUUCUUAGAAAAUUUCACUAAGGGGAUCUAACAGGAUCUUUGCCACCUGGAAGAAGUCAUCUCUCUAACAGAGGGGCCAUUUUAGCCUUAAUACAUAAUUACCCAGAAUUGAGAGCAAUGAUAUGUCACCCUGGGGACCACCUGCAUCCAAAAGAAAGGAGCUACAGAAUGAGGCCUGGCAAUCCUGUAUGUUCCCAACAUGGAUUCCAGCAGCUCAAAUGAGAUGAAGUGGCUUUCCCAACCCUGCCAAGAGGGCUAGGGUGUGAGCAUGAGGCCCUUGAGCAAUCUCCGGGGUCCCAGGACAGACCUCUAGGCUGAGCUACCAGCCCCUCAGGUGAGCGUGCUCCUGGCGGGCAGCUUGUUCCAUCCUCUGCCCCAUAGACUUUUCUAUUCCCCACCUGGGCCUGUGCAUCAGUUCCUCUCCAGGCCUCCCCAGACAAGACUUCAACACCCACCUUCUGACAACCUGCCCCAUUCCGCCCAGGCUCUUUAAAGGGACAGGAAGGUGAAGGCUUAGCUUCACCGUAAAAUGGCCAUUGUUUGGCCUUUUGCACAUACCUGUCAUCCCAUGGAAUCAGGACCCUCUGAGGGAGCCAAGGCUCCCUGUGGGGACAAUCGUCCCUUCCGAGUACAAAUACCUGCUGUGUUUUCCCCAAACACAUCUAGAGUCAUUUGUGUUCAUUGAUUCCCCACAACAUCCCUGUGAGAUGGGCAAGGAUAUGGUUAUUCCCUUCUUGUAAGGGGGAAAACUGAGGCUCAAGAAUUGAAUCCAUGUGACAGAGCCACAACUGGAAACCCAGUUUCUGACCCCAGCUCAGUACUUUUCCCUCCCUACAACAUAAGGCCUUUCACAUUUGAGGACUCAGACUAGGCCAAUGGUCGGCAAACUCUAGUCAGAGCCAAAUAUCAACAGUACAAUGUUUGAAAUUUCUUUUGAGAGCCAAUUUUUUAAACUUAGCUUCU